rnacentral:rRNA from 1 species
UUAAGCGACUAAGCGUACACGGUGGAUGCCCUGGCAGUCAGAGGCGAUGAAGGACGUGCUAAUCUGCGAUAAGCGUCGGUAAGGUGAUAUGAACCGUUAUAACCGGCGAUUUCCGAAUGGGGAAACCCAGUGUGUUUCGACACACUAUCAUUAACUGAAUCCAUAGGUUAAUGAGGCGAACCGGGGGAACUGAAACAUCUAAGUACCCCGAGGAAAAGAAAUCAACCGAGAUUCCCCCAGUAGCGGCGAGCGAACGGGGAGCAGCCCAGAGCCUGAAUCAGUGUGUGUGUUAGUGGAAGCGUCUGGAAAGGCGCGCGAUACAGGGUGACAGCCCCGUACACAAAAAUGCACAUGCUGUGAGCUCGAUGAGUAGGGCGGGACACGUGGUAUCCUGUCUGAAUAUGGGGGGACCAUCCUCCAAGGCUAAAUACUCCUGACUGACCGAUAGUGAACCAGUACCGUGAGGGAAAGGCGAAAAGAACCCCGGCGAGGGGAGUGAAAAAGAACCUGAAACCGUGUACGUACAAGCAGUGGGAGCACGCUUAGGCGUGUGACUGCGUACCUUUUGUAUAAUGGGUCAGCGACUUAUAUUCUGUAGCAAGGUUAACCGAAUAGGGGAGCCGAAGGGAAACCGAGUCUUAACUGGGCGUUAAGUUGCAGGGUAUAGACCCGAAACCCGGUGAUCUAGCCAUGGGCAGGUUGAAGGUUGGGUAACACUAACUGGAGGACCGAACCGACUAAUGUUGAAAAAUUAGCGGAUGACUUGUGGCUGGGGGUGAAAGGCCAAUCAAACCGGGAGAUAGCUGGUUCUCCCCGAAAGCUAUUUAGGUAGCGCCUCGUGAAUUCAUCUCCGGGGGUAGAGCACUGUUUCGGCAAGGGGGUCAUCCCGACUUACCAACCCGAUGCAAACUGCGAAUACCGGAGAAUGUUAUCACGGGAGACACACGGCGGGUGCUAACGUCCGUCGUGAAGAGGGAAACAACCCAGACCGCCAGCUAAGGUCCCAAAGUCAUGGUUAAGUGGGAAACGAUGUGGGAAGGCCCAGACAGCCAGGAUGUUGGCUUAGAAGCAGCCAUCAUUUAAAGAAAGCGUAAUAGCUCACUGGUCGAGUCGGCCUGCGCGGAAGAUGUAACGGGGCUAAACCAUGCACCGAAGCUGCGGCAGCGACGCUUAUGCGUUGUUGGGUAGGGGAGCGUUCUGUAAGCCUGCGAAGGUGUGCUGUGAGGCAUGCUGGAGGUAUCAGAAGUGCGAAUGCUGACAUAAGUAACGAUAAAGCGGGUGAAAAGCCCGCUCGCCGGAAGACCAAGGGUUCCUGUCCAACGUUAAUCGGGGCAGGGUGAGUCGACCCCUAAGGCGAGGCCGAAAGGCGUAGUCGAUGGGAAACAGGUUAAUAUUCCUGUACUUGGUGUUACUGCGAAGGGGGGACGGAGAAGGCUAUGUUGGCCGGGCGACGGUUGUCCCGGUUUAAGCGUGUAGGCUGGUUUUCCAGGCAAAUCCGGAAAAUCAAGGCUGAGGCGUGAUGACGAGGCACUACGGUGCUGAAGCAACAAAUGCCCUGCUUCCAGGAAAAGCCUCUAAGCAUCAGGUAACAUCAAAUCGUACCCCAAACCGACACAGGUGGUCAGGUAGAGAAUACCAAGGCGCUUGAGAGAACUCGGGUGAAGGAACUAGGCAAAAUGGUGCCGUAACUUCGGGAGAAGGCACGCUGAUAUGUAGGUGAGGUCCCUCGCGGAUGGAGCUGAAAUCAGUCGAAGAUACCAGCUGGCUGCAACUGUUUAUUAAAAACACAGCACUGUGCAAACACGAAAGUGGACGUAUACGGUGUGACGCCUGCCCGGUGCCGGAAGGUUAAUUGAUGGGGUUAGCGCAAGCGAAGCUCUUGAUCGAAGCCCCGGUAAACGGCGGCCGUAACUAUAACGGUCCUAAGGUAGCGAAAUUCCUUGUCGGGUAAGUUCCGACCUGCACGAAUGGCGUAAUGAUGGCCAGGCUGUCUCCACCCGAGACUCAGUGAAAUUGAACUCGCUGUGAAGAUGCAGUGUACCCGCGGCAAGACGGAAAGACCCCGUGAACCUUUACUAUAGCUUGACACUGAACAUUGAGCCUUGAUGUGUAGGAUAGGUGGGAGGCUUGGAAGUGUGGACGCCAGUCUGCAUGGAGCCGACCUUGAAAUACCACCCUUUAAUGUUUGAUGUUCUAACGUUGACCCGUAAUCCGGGUUGCGGACAGUGUCUGGUGGGUAGUUUGACUGGGGCGGUCUCCUCCUAAAGAGUAACGGAGGAGCACGAAGGUUGGCUAAUCCUGGUCGGACAUCAGGAGGUUAGUGCAAUGGCAUAAGCCAGCUUGACUGCGAGCGUGACGGCGCGAGCAGGUGCGAAAGCAGGUCAUAGUGAUCCGGUGGUUCUGAAUGGAAGGGCCAUCGCUCAACGGAUAAAAGGUACUCCGGGGAUAACAGGCUGAUACCGCCCAAGAGUUCAUAUCGACGGCGGUGUUUGGCACCUCGAUGUCGGCUCAUCACAUCCUGGGGCUGAAGUAGGUCCCAAGGGUAUGGCUGUUCGCCAUUUAAAGUGGUACGCGAGCUGGGUUUAGAACGUCGUGAGACAGUUCGGUCCCUAUCUGCCGUGGGCGCUGGAGAACUGAGGGGGGCUGCUCCUAGUACGAGAGGACCGGAGUGGACGCAUCACUGGUGUUCGGGUUGUCAUGCCAAUGGCACUGCCCGGUAGCUAAAUGCGGAAGAGAUAAGUGCUGAAAGCAUCUAAGCACGAAACUUGCCCCGAGAUGAGUUCUCCCUGACUCCUUGAGAGUCCUGAAGGAACGUUGAAGACGACGACGUUGAUAGGCCGGGUGUGUAAGCGCAGCGAUGCGUUGAGCUAACCGGUACUAAUGAACCGUGAGGCUUAACCUU